AUGAGUCGCUAAAAAAAUGCAAAGUGUAGAGCUUCUGUUUUCUGUCUAUGGCUGCAAAUUUCCAUUGUAUCCACUAUGAUCCUCGAGGGUGAAUUGAGCAUGGCAACGCGAUUGGAUUUUAAUGAUGCACACUCUGAUGCGGGGUCAGUUGCCCCCAUUAUUCUUCCUCGACAGGCUCGAGAAUGUACAACACCACAGAAGUCCUUUAUCAUCCCGUUCUGUGGUUCAUCUUAUACUCCAGACUGUGAUGAUGCCAUCAAACCAAAGAUUGGGAUGACUUUCGCAGAUGUUAAUUCAGCCGAGGAGUUCUAUAAAUCAUAUGCUCACAAUGUGGGUUUUUCAGUCCGUGUUGGGCAGCACAAGGCUAUUGAUGGAGUGAUCUUGUACAAGCGGUACUUUUGUUCAAAUGAAGGUUUUCGUGAAGAGAAGAAUAUGCAAUUUGAUAGCAAACGGAGGAAGUAUGAGAAAAGAAUCACUAGGUGUGGAUGUGAGGCUAUGCUUGUUAUCAAGCGGACCGAGGACCAUAAGUACAUUGUGACAAGAUUUGAGGAAGAUCAUGCACAUGCACUCGUAACCCCUAAAAAGCAGCAAUUCAUAAGGUCAAACAGAAAGGUUACGUUGAGUGCCAAAAAACAUUGUUGACUUGCCAUAAAGCAAGCAUUGGUACAUCACAAGCAUAUAGGUACCUUCGUGUUGGUGCAGGGGGUUUUGAGAAUGUUGAAUUCUUAAAGAGGGACUUGCAUAAUUUGCUCUGAGGGUAUUAAUAAAAUCAUCAGAUGCUCAAAUGUUUGUUGAUCAGUUGAGUAGAAAGAGCCUUGCAAACCCAGGUUUUUACUUUGACUAUGUUGUGGAUGACCAGGGAAGGUUGGUCCAUGUGUUCUGGGCUGAUGCAACCUGUAGGAAAAACUAUGCUCACUUUGGUGAUCUAGUCUCUUUUGACUCUACAUACAGCACAAACGAGUAUGCAUGAUUUUUACACCCUUCACAGGUGUGAAUCACCACAAGAAUAGUGUAUUGUUUGGUGCCGCGAUGCUAUCAAAUGAAAAGACUGAGUCAUAUGUGUGGUUGUUACAUACAUUCAUGAAAGCCAUGGGAGGUGUUGCACCUAAGUUGAUUAUUACCGAUGAGGCUGCAAGCAUGAAGCUUGCAAUACAAGAUGUUUUUACCACAAGCAUUCAUAGGUUAUGCAUGUGGCAUAUUUUGAUGAAAGUUGACAAGGUUGGGCCUGUGUUGAAGGAAGACGAAGAAUUCCACCAACGUUUGAGCUGGUGUGUUUGGUCCUCUGAAACACCAACAGAAUUUGAGGAUAGAUGGUGACGUAUUAUGUCAAAGUAUGAGUUGCAUGGAAAUGAAUGGUUUACAAAAAAGUUUGAGCAACGGAAAUCAUGGGUGCCGGCUUAUUUCAAUGACAUACCUUUGUCAGGUUUGCUGAGGACAACCUCAAGGUCAGAGAGUGCAAUUUCUUUCUUCUCUCGUCUAAUUGGCUGGAAACAUUCUUUAGUAGAGUUUUGGCUGAGGUUUGAUGGAGCACUUGAAGAACAACGGUACAAGGAGCUUGAAAUGGACAAUGUUACCCUUCACACAACCCGCAGUCUGAAGACGGAAGGGGGGAUAGAGAAGCAUGGCAGUGAGUUUUACGCACAUGAAGUAUUCAGUGAUUUCCAGAUAGAGGUGAUAGCUGCUAGGGACCAUUGCCUAAUUGAUAGUGUGCAACAAGAGGGGGAUGUCGAAAUAACUGGUAUCAUUGAGGAUUCUCGGAGAUCAAGAGUUGUACACUAUAACAGAUCAACCAUGGUUGCAACGUGUCCUUGCAUGCUGUUUGAAACUCAUGGCAUACCAUGUCGCCAUAUCAUUCCAGCCCUAAGAAGUGCCAAGCUAAAUGAAGUCCCAAGCUAUUAUUUAUUGGAGAGAUUUGCACAUGUCUGCAAGAAAAAAUUGGUGUUUGAUGCGGAUGACACCUUGGCACCUUGUUGGAGGAAAGUACCAGCAACAAGAAUGACCCAGAGACACAAAAAUUGCUUUCAGAGACUUGCAACCAAAUGGAAAAACUGGUCCUGCAAGCUAAGCAAUCACCUGCUGCUAUGCGUCUGUUAAGGGAUUAAUUAAUUGCAGUUGGUGAGAAACUUAAUAAGAUGGUUCUAGUAAAAGAAGAAAGCGAGGUUGAAGAGUUUGAGUCAUACCUUGGAUGCUCCAUUCCGGAUCAAAUUGACAUCCACCCACCAAAUGAUACACGUUCUAGGGGUAAGAUCAAGAGAAUCAAAGGGCAUCGUGACAAGGGGACACAGCAAAACAAGAAUGAGAAGAAAAAAAAAAUCAAAGGACGCCACGUAUGUGCAAGACGUGAGGACAAGUUGUGAUACGUGAUUCGCGUAACUGCCCAAAUAAACCACCACAGCAAUGAUACAAGCUUACCAGGAGGAAGAAGUUGCUGAAAGUAGGAAGGAAUGACUUUGUUCAAAGCAUGGAGGGACACUUUUGCUAAAAAAUUAGUCAUGUGGUCAACCAGUUAUUGUGAAAGCUGACCAUUCCAAUUUGCCAUCAAUUCCAUGUAAUAUUUAGGAUAGAUUUAGUUUAAGCACCACCUGAGUGGUCAUCAUGGGUACCUGCGUACUAGCGUUUUUGCAUCUUGAAUGCUUUGUAAGAUCUUGACAAAGCUCAUUGAACAUCCUUAGAUGGAUGCCAUGGUUCCAGUUGCUUAAGUGACAAACUUUGUAAAUGGUCACUAAUCUUAUCAGUUGACCUAUGGUGUAUGCUUAUCUGGUGCAUUCCUUUGCUUCUCUUUGGUUGAUCUCAAAAGUGUAAAGUGUAUUUAUA